rnacentral:rRNA from 1 species
CAGCCGCCGCGGGAAUACGAGGGAUCCUAGCGUUGUUCGGAAUCAUUGGGCGUAAAGGGUGUGUAGGCGGCCUUGUAAGUCAGUUGUGAAGGCCCCGGGCUCAACCCGGGAAGUGCUUCUGAUACUGCUUGGCUUGAGUAUUGGAUAGGUGAGUGGAAUUCCAGGUGUAGUGGUGAAAUACGUAGAUAUCUGGAGGAACACCGGCGGCGAAGGCGGCUCACUGGCCAUAUACUGACGCUGAAACACGAAAGCGUGGGUAGCAAACAGGAUUAGAUACCCCAGUAGUCCCUGUCUCUUAUAC